GUGGCCGUAGUCAAGUGGUUUAAGACGCCAGCUUGGAGAGCUGGUGCCCUCGCGGGCUCGUGGGUUCGAGUCCCACCGGCCACGCCA
rnacentral:tRNA from 1 species